rnacentral:rRNA from 1 species
CCUUAUGACCUGGGCUCACACGUGCUACAAUGGGAAGUACAACGAGUUGCGAAGUCGCGAGGCUAAGCUAAUCUCUUAAAGCUUCUCUCAGUUCGGAUUGCAGGCUGCAACUCGCCUGCAUGAAGCCGGAAUCGCUAGUAAUCGCGGAUCAGCACGCCGCGGUGAAUACGUUCCCGGGCCUUGUACACACCGCCCGUCACACCACGAGAGUUUGUAACACCCGAAGUCGGUGAGGUAACCUUUUUGGAGCCAGCCGCCUAAGGUGGGAUAGAUGAUUGGGGUGAAGUCGUAACAAGGUAGCCGUAUCGGAAGGUGCGGUUGGAUCACCCUCUAA